GAGGUGGGGAUGGCGGGGGCUUGGGGGGCCUACGGGAGGCAGCAGUGGGGAAUAUUGGACAAUGGGCGAAAGCGUGAUCCAGCCAUGCGCGUUGUGAAGAAGGUUUUCGGAAGUGAAGCACUUUAACUUGGGAGGAAGGGCAGUGGGUUGUGC
rnacentral:rRNA from 1 species